CAGAACUUUUAGAGAGAAAGCUUGCAAACCCCUGACGUAGAACAGCAACCUUGAUCUCACCGAAAUACCAAGCUCCACAGAGUGGUCACAGAAGACAAGGAAAGACGGAGAAACUGUCACAGCCUGGAGGAGACUUAGAGACACAACAACUAAACCCAGUGUGGCAUCCUAGACUGGGUGCUGGAACAGAAAAGGACAUUCGUGGAAAUUCAAAUAAGAAGGGAAACGACAUCUCAGAGCUUGAGACACUUCGCCUCAUAAGGAGCAAAGCAGAGGUUAGCAUCUCAGUUUUCCUUCCACAGUGCAUUUUUCUUAAGUUAUAUUCUUGACCUGUCUUGGACCAGGGGAAUAGUCAAAGUAUAGAUCUGGAUGCCUAGGUUUGAGUCUAGGCUCUGUACUUUGUCCUUUUUUUUUUUUGGUGUUUUUUGAGCUAAUGCCUUUUGCCAAUCUUCCUCUUUUUUGCUUGAAGAAGAGUGGCCCUGAGCUAACAUCUGUGCCCACCUUCCUAUAUUUUGUAUAUGGGUCGCCACCACAGCAUGGCUUGAUGAGUGGUGUAGGUCCGUGCCCAGGAUCUAAACCCAUGAACCCAACCACCUAAGCAGAG
rnacentral:lncRNA from 1 species